rnacentral:rRNA from 1 species
CCUACGGGGGGCUGCAGUGGGGAAUAUUGGACAAUGGGCGAAAGCCUGAUCCAGCCAUGCCGCGUGUGUGAAGAAGGCCUUCGGGUUGUAAAGCACUUUCAGUGGGGAAGAAAGCCUUGGGGCUAAUACCCUCGAGGAAGGACAUCACCCACAGAAGAAGCACCGGCUAACUCCGUGCCAGCAGCCGCGGUAAUACGGAGGGUGCGAGCGUUAAUCGGAAUUACUGGGCGUAAAGCGCGCGUAGGCGGUCUGAUAAGCCGGUUGUGAAAGCCCCGGGCUCAACCUGGGAACGGCAUCCGGAACUGUCAGGCUAGAGGGCAGGAGAGGAAGGUAGAAUUCCCGGUGUAGCGGUGAAAUGCGUAGAGAUCGGGAGGAAUACCAGUGGCGAAGGCGGCCUUCUGGACUGACACUGACGCUGAGGUGCGAAAGCGUGGGUAGCAAACAGGAUUAGAUACCCCUGUAGUC